rnacentral:rRNA from 1 species
UACGUAGGGGCAAGCGUUGUCCGGAAUCAUUGGGCGUAAAGAGCGUGUAGGCGGCUCGGUAAGUCCGCUCUGAAAGCCCGGGGCUCAACCCCGGGAGGCGGGCGGAUACUGUCGGGCUAGAGUCCGGAAGAGGCGAGUGGAAUUCCUGGUGUAGCGGUGAAAUGCGCAGAUAUCAGGAGGAACACCAAUGGCGAAGGCAGCUCGCUGGGACGGUACUGACGCUGAGACGCGAAAGCGUGGGGAGCAA